UAUGGUGUUACUGUUACUAACACCAUUGUGAUCGCAGAUCCCCGAAUGAAAGCGGUGCCUGAACCGAACGGAGAAAGAGAGCAACAGUUGUAUUGUCUCUCUAACAUUCAUAGUUCAAAACGGUGUACGUAAUCAUUAUGUGGUACAUCCGAUUCGUUUUGCUGGUAUUUGAGAAAUAACUCCUUGUAGCCGCCCAAUACGAGCAAAACAGACGAAUCUUGCCUAAUCGUUAGGAGAAUCGUAGCUUCUGUGUUCACAUUGUCGCAUCCCACACUGCUUCGGGCAAAAUGUAUUAUUCGAUAGCAGAUGACCAUCCCAGCUGAACACAGCUGCUUACAACCCAGCUGGCGGCAGGAAGGCGGCUUAUGCUGAAGAAUGAAGAAUUGAAACUAAAGAAAGAAACGAUGACAAAGAAUAGUAAAAAGAGAGCGAAAUUAAAGGUUCCGAAAUCGGUGAGCAGGACGGGGAAUGAGAUAGUGCGAGAUUUACACAAUCAAGGAAAAAUAAUAGUUUUUCGCUAUGUGAUUCUGAUGCACUUUCAUCUUUUUAUGAGUUAACAGGCAUGCAGACAAGAUGAGGCAAUUUUGUAUGAUCGAGGCUUUGCAGUCGAGCACCUUUAUUCACAAUUCUGGGAAUACCAUCAUACCGUGGCACUAGCGUAUACUGAGCCUAUCAGAACCAGAUAAGCGCACUGUCAAGGAUACUCCAUAUAUUUCGUUAUGCUUCGGUUGAAGUUUUUCCUUCGAAACAUGAAUUGAAAUAUAAACAAAAACUAUUUAUAUUUUUGCCAUAUUUUUUGUUAUCCAACAAUACAAAAAACCAGUUCAAUUUCCUAAGUAAAUGAUCAUACAAACGGAUUUGUCCUUGUUCGAACAGGCUUGCCCUUUGGCGCGAGAAUCAUAUUUUGUCCAUUUAACUCAUGGGGUUGUCUCUCUCUUUCUAUCAUCACCCUCCGCCAGCAGCUGUUCGAAAGAUACAUACCUAGGCGAUUCUAUACUUGAAAGUGAACUAAAUGAGGGUAUGAUUUAUAUUUUAUCUCUCAAAGAAUCACUCGCCAAAACGGCAAUGUGUUGGAAAAGCUCCAUGAAAGGUAAAGGUGACAAGCUAUUCAUGGUGUUGUGCGUGUAUGUGUCUGCUAGGGUGUGACGAACAUCGUGAAUUCUGCAAUCAUCUUUCACUGCAAACCGCCGGGGAUUAAGAAAACCUUUUGCUGAGAAGGUUACGUUGAAGGAAGAGGGGUGCAAGAGUAAGCCCGAUCCCUACAGUGGUACGUCAAAUCGUAGAAAAGGGACCAAGCACGCACGAUGCCCUUGAAUUACAAAAGCCAGGGAAAAGCUGUCUGUAGAAAAAAAAACGGGAAGAAGAAGACCUUUCAGCAUUUCGUCUAGACUUACAACCCCAGACUAUAACCGCGUACUAUAACUGUAACACGGAAGUGAUCUCCUUUUCCCACCGAUUAUGUACAAAUAAUUUUACAGACGCCAUCGUUUCACGCCUGCUUUCACCAUCUUAAGGGAGCACGCAGAGGAAAGCAUGGACAGCCUCGGAGAGAAUUCGCUACAAGAUGGAUGGGUGCUCUAAUUUUGCCUAGAGCGAAGCAAGAACUGUGGAGCAGAAAAAAGAAUGGUUCAUCAUUAGACCAUAAAUAAGAUUUGCUUUUGAGGCCAAACAUCCAUGUCGCUCUGACGCCUUUGCAUCCCUGAACUUUUACUUAAUUGCCAGGUUACGAUCAUGCAUCAGCAGUAUCAUCUAUAAGAGUUUUUACCUCGAAACCAGAAACAACGGAAGAACAGUUAAUAUGGCGGACACAGAUUGAUUGAUAUUUCAGUGUCUUUACGAACAGAUGUCUCCUAUCAGUUGGAAACCUGGAACCCUAGUCUCCUUUUCUACACAUGACCAUGUUCUCAGAUGUUCUCGAUUGCAAAAAACCUCUCUUUUAUUCUCGUCUUUGACAUCCCAUGUGCGCUGAAACCGAAUACUCGCGCGAAUUUUUAUUAUUUUCGAAGGGAAGAAUCGAAGAAAAAAGGGGUUGUUG